UACGUAUGGAGCAAGCGUUAUCCGGAUUUACUGGGUGUAAAGGGAGCGUAGACGGUGAGGCAAGUCUGAUGUGAAAGCCCGGGGCUCAACCCCGGAACUGCAUUGGAAACUGUUGGUCUUGAGUAUCGGAGAGGCAGGCGGAAUUCCUAGUGUAGCGGUGAAAUGCGUAGAUAUUAGGAGGAACACCGGUGGCGAAGGCGGCUCACUGGACUGUAACUGACGUUGAGGCUCGAAAGCGUGGGGAGCAA
rnacentral:rRNA from 1 species